rnacentral:ncRNA from 1 species
AAUCUUUAUACAUAAGGAACUUCGUUAAUUUAUUUUAGUGAUAUUUAUUAAAUUUUACGAAAGGGCCUUAUUUUUUUAAAGUAUUUCAAUGUGAAAUUACAUAUAAACAUAAAGUUUUUGGCGAGACUCUUGAGGGAACAGGUCAAGCUGAAGACUACAGGUUGAAGCUGUCCCCUAAGAAAGCGAGAAAACAAUACGAAGUAUUAUAAAUAAAGAAGCCAGUAA